rnacentral:rRNA from 1 species
ACCGAAUAGAUACCCUGGUAGUCCACGCCGUAAACUAUGAACGCUAGCCGUUGGCGAGCUUGCUCGUCAGUGGCGCAGCUAACGCACUAAGCGUUCCGCCUGGGGAGUACGGCCGCAAGGUUGAAACUCAAAGAAAUUGACGGGGGCCCGCACAAGCGGUGGAGCAUGUGGUUUAAUUCGACGCAACGCGCAGAACCUUACCAGGGUUUGACAUCCCGAGACCGCUGCUGAAAGGCAGUUUCCCGCAAGGGCUCGGAGACAGGUGCUGCAUGGCUGUCGUCAGCUCGUGUCGUGAGAUGUUGGGUUAAAGUCCCGCAACGAGCGCAACCCUCGCCUUUAGUUGCCAUCAUUAAGUUGGGCACUCUAGAGGGACCGCCGGCGACAAGCCGGAGGAAGGUGGGGAUGACGUCAAGUCCUCAUGGCCCUUACACCCUGGGCUACACACGUGCUACAAUGACGGUGACAGUGAGCAGCUAACUCGCGAGAGUGUGCUAAUCUCCAAAAACC